GGGCGUGUGGUCCAGUGGUUAAGACGCAUCGUUCACAUCGAUGAGAUCGGAGGUCCGAUUCCUCCCACGCCCA
rnacentral:tRNA from 2 species